AAACCAUGAUGAGGACACUCUAAGAGAAGAUCCUUAAAACGUUCCAUACACCUAGAAAAUGAUUCAUUGGGUUUUUGUGGAAACUGGAGAAUGUCGUUCCUAAGUUU
rnacentral:snoRNA from 1 species